AACGAACGCUGGCGGCAUGCCUAACACAUGCAAGUCGAACGCCUGUAGCAAUACAGGAGUGGCGCACGGGUGAGUAACGCGUGGGAACCUGCCCUGGAGUGGGGGAUAACCCGGCGAAAGCCGGGCUAAUACCGCAUACGACCUGAGGGUGAAAGAUUCAUCGCUCUUGGAGGGGCCCGCGUCGGAUUAGCUAGUUGGUG
rnacentral:rRNA from 1 species